rnacentral:siRNA from 1 species
AUACAAUGGGUCGAACAUACCAA